CGAGCCUGCAGUGGGGCCCCGAGAACAGUUCGAGCAAGUUUCCAGCGCUGCUGACACUGCUGUCAAAUAGCCAUGACUUGAGAAGCACUGCCUUGGAGGGACUAGCCCACAGGUGAAGGACAGCACUGUAGCUAGCCUGGUGAGCUCAGCACCCACUCCCAGCCCAAGCUCCAUGGCAAAGGCACACACCAGAUGAUGGGCUGCGCCUUCUUCAGCUGAGGGCUGAGGGCGCCAUCAGCUGUGGAUUGCAGAGCCACCCUUUCCUGAGGCCUCACCACCACAUCUCCAGGCUCUCCUAGGAGCUUUGGGAAUUAGCAGCUAACUGCCCCAUCCUCACUCAAGCAUCUCAGCUUCAGGCUCCUGUGGGAGGAAGCCAGGCAUGCGGAGAGCAAUAAGGAUUUCCUUAAAGGAGGCCCUUGACCUAGAGGAACGGAGAGGGCAGUCCGCUAGAAUACCAAUUUGUGAGUUGUUUCUUUUCACUUUGUACUGGAGUUUGAAGAACUGCUUUAAAUGUCCCCAUCCUUCAAGUCUACUUUGUAUUCUCUUCAUUACAGCUCAGUGUACCUGUCACAGCCUGGAAAACAGACAAUUCCAUCACCCCCUCCCCCCGAUAUUAUUUUAGAUUUUCUCUUUUCCUUAAAAUGUAGUUGAACAAUUUGCCAGACAUAUUCCAACAGAAAAUGUGCUGCCCGGUAUCACCCUGCCCCUCCCCAACCCCCUAAAUCCCUGAUAAAGGAAAAUGAAAAUGUAAACUUUGGAAAGCCUGUGCUCAAGGUUUGCUUCUAGAAGUAUGCAAAUGAAGCCCCCUGGCCAGCCAAGCCCUUCCUGCUGGACUCUCUCUGGCCUAGGCUUUGAGAGCGGGUGCCUUGUCACCCAGGGCAGAGCUUUCCUGGCAUUUCCCCGGCACUGGCUGCCUGAGGGCUAAAAGAAUGGAGUGGGAGACUGGCCCUCCAGUACUCUCUAAGGCACUAACCCCGACAUCAGAGACACUGGCUGGAAGGGCGUCCAAGCAGGCAGGGCUCACAUUGGUUUUGGUUGGGUUGUUUUUUGUGUUUUUUUUUUUAUAUUUUUUCAUACGAUGUUAAUAAAAGUAGAAAAUAAAAAUCUACAUUUCAUUAGAAUAAGAUGUUAUCAUGGAUGCCAUCUCCCAUGAUACUCUUUCCCACCCCUCCCAAAUCAGGGCCCUGCCCUGUUAUUUUAAAAUAAAUGACAAAAAAAAAAAAA